UACGGAGGGGGGCUAGCGUUGUUCGGAAUUACUGGGCGUAAAGCGUACGUAGGCGGCUUUGUAAGUUAGAGGUGAAAGCCCGGGGCUCAACCCCGGAAUUGCCUUUAAGACUGCAUCGCUUGAACGUCGGAGAGGUGAGUGGAAUUCCGAGUGUAGAGGUGAAAUUCGUAGAUAUUCGGAAGAACACCAGUGGCGAAGGCGGCUCACUGGACGACUGUUGACGCUGAGGUACGAAAGCGUGGGGAGCAAACAGG
rnacentral:rRNA from 1 species